CCACGGUGCAGCGAGCGCAGAGGGAACGUGGUCUCCGCCCGGCGCACAGAAUCCGCACCGCUUCCCUUCGAGGAUGGCGAUUUAUGCUGAGCACAAUCAGGACUAUUCAGCAUGGGUCUGGCAGGCCCUCCCCACAGGAACAGAGUCCAAUCACAGGCCCAAUGAACACAUUGGGAGCUGACAGAUCCAAAUGAGUCCCAGUAGGAGCCUGCCCACAGUGCCUUUCAAAAUAUAUGAGAGCUUUGAUGAGAAGGAAACCAUGGAAAUUGUCUACAUUCUGGAAGACUGUGCUAAGAUACCGCAAAUGCAGCCAAUCAAUCGUAAAAGGAAAGGAUGUUUCAAGUUAUCUUCAUUUCCCUCAGUGCGCAGUGGCUCACUCAGCUUGCCCACGCAAGAACACAUAUCAAGUCUGUAGAUGCUCCAGGCGAGUAAUGAAGCACUGAAGAAUGAAAUAACGACAUAUAGGAUGAGUAACAAUUGCAUCGGACGAGUUUAACAUCAGUGUGGUGGGUGACCGGAUUCCACUUGAGUGGUGUUUUGGAAAGAAAAUAACUUGUGGCAGACUUAUUGGUGUUCUGUUCUACAGUGUUAUGAAAAUGGAUGUGGAAUGUAAUGUCCAGGUAUGUGUUCCUACUGCUGCUGCGAUCGGAGAUUGCUGACCUCAGGUAUGGAGGUAUUAAAGUCAUAGCCAGGAAACUGAGCACGGAAAAGUCAGCUUCAUAACACCCAACCCCCGCCCCCUCAACACACACACACACGAAAAAAAAACCUGUCCAAUUAAUAGUUGAAUCCUGAGGCCACGUAGUAUAGAUAAUCUACGGUUAUUCUAUUAUGUAAUCUAGGGGUGAAAUGUUAUAAGAUUACCUCUCCAAGGAAAAUAAACAACUGAAACACCAUUGUCACAUUAUCUUUCUACUUUUUUG